rnacentral:lncRNA from 1 species
UUCAAUGUGAUCUAUUUCACAAAGUAAGAACCAUAGGUAAACAUUGUGUGCAUGCUAGGAGCAUGGGACAAGUGUUGUAAUUCAAGUAAGAAGUUGAUUACCCGAAACGACAAAUAAUGAGUAAUCAAUAUGGUGAUAAAUAAAAGGUGUUUUAUUUAUACUCAAAGGUUUGAGGCCAUAUGGGAUUAGUAUUAUUCUUGUGUUUCACAUUUGCAUGUUUUGACUUCCAGAAUAAUUGAAUUUAUUAAGAAUAAUCGAAUUAUUCGAACGGGCCACAGUCGUUCAUAUGUUGGAAGUAGAUAUGAAUGAAGACUGUCGUGAAUUGGUGUGUGGAUUGUCUAAAAGAGUAUUAGACAUAAGCAAAUGUUUGCUGCAACGUUCAUGAGUGCUUAUGAAUAUGAUUUGAGCAUUGGAUUAAACCCACGCUCACUUGGAUCACUCCAUGAAUUGUAUCACGAGUGAUUGGUGAGACGAUAACAUCUUAUAUUCUUGAAACCGAGAUGUGUGAGUUGUAUCUUGCAAAUCGGUUGCACAUUGAUAAUAUGUAAACGCACUAGUAACUUGGUGUUAUAAAACAUAUUGUUGUGUGUGAUUCGGUGAGUGAGUGCAAGCAAGCAUUGUAUCAAAGUUUAUCCGUUCCUUUUAUCCAAAGUAGGAUAAAAGCGAUAUCUUUGGGCCCCUCGAUGAUUUAGUGAUGACAAACGUAAAUGCUCGGCCGGGCUAGGGCUAAUUUGAUUUGUUCAAUUAGUCAGUCGUCAUAAAUCGGAAAUCGAGAUAUAGUACAAAGAGAAUGAUUUGAAAUCAUAUCUCAUAUGAUAUCUAGAAUGGAGGAAUAUAUGAUCCCUUAUCUAAGGACACGCGUAUCUGAUAUGAUCAGAGUUGACAGCGGCUUUGGAAAGCUACGAUUGCAGAUCAGGAUCUGAAGUCAUACGCAGAAUAGUUAUUAGACUUAUCCAAGUGGGAGACUGUUGGAUUAGUGUCUAAGUCCAUAACUAUUUUGGUAUGUACUUGACCCGAUGGUGCAUGGUCCUUUUGGGUUGCCUUCACCAAAGCAACUUGAUAGGAUGAAUUAUGGAGAGAAAGGAUUAAAUAUGAUUUAUUAAUAUAUUAUGAGAAUAAUAUAUUAAAGGAGAAAUCAUAUUGUUUAAUUAAUAUUAGUCAAGAAUUAAUAAGAAUUAAGUUUGUGACUAAAAGAGAUUAAUUAAACUUAAGGGACUGGAAUUGUAAUUAUAAGAUAAUUGCAAUUUGGGCUAUGGAUUGCCUUAUAUUAAGGAGUGGACGAAUUCUAUGGGGAAACCCAUUAGAAAUCGUCCAAGGCCUUUAAGGAAAGGAGUCCAUGGGUUGCUUAGGGCUUAAGCAUCCAAAUUAGGGUUUCCUUGUUAGAUAACCCUAAUAGCCUCACUAUAUAUAGAACCCUUAUGCCCCAAAAACGUGGUGAACUAAUUGUUUAGGGUUUCCACAUGUUUUUGAGAGCCUCCUUCUCUUCUCUUCUUCAUCCUCUUGCUCUUGGUGUUUGUGAACCAUUAGAGGAGUGACAUUUGUGACUCUAAGCUUUCUAAAGUCAAUACAAGAAGGAUUUGAGAUUGUUAUUGCUACAUAACAAUCAAGGUAUGAUCUAAACCCUAAUUUAUAUGUUAUAUUGAUUAUCAUAUGCUAGAUCUAGGGUUUAUAGUCUUGGAUAAAUUGCAUGUACAAUAGAGAAACCUAGAUCCAAGCAUUAGGGUUUGUAUGAGCACAUAGGAUGUUCUUAUGACCAAAACCCAUCAGUGGUAUCAGAGCCUAGAUUGGUUUCUAUUGUAUUGAUGCCUUGUAUGUUGAAAAAAUUCGAUUUUUGUGGUUCUGCAUGAUGGACUCGGCGAGUCCCACUGUGGACUCGGCGAGUUGCCCCCUACUCGGCGAGUCCAUGGGGGUACUCGGCGAGUUCGAGCGUCAGAUGGAGCUAUUUUCGGGAUUUCUUGCUGUUUAUCUUUGAGAUACUUGCCUUUAUCAUAUUAGAUCAAUAUAAAUCCGAUUUUAUGAUAUAUAUGAGUAUAUUCUUGAUCUAAUUGAAGAUAUUUAUCAAUUAAUAAAAUAUUUGUUUCCUUAUGUGAUAAUUGAUUAAUUAUUUUGAUUAAAUUGGUAAAUUGUUUUGCAAGAAAUCAUUAAAUAAAUCAAAUAUGGAUAAUUAUGUGAUUAAAUGUUAAUUUAGAUUAUUUGUUAUUUGAUCCUUGUGUUAUGAAAAGUUUCAUAUUUUCCCCUUUAGGUUUUAUAGUUUAAAUUUGAACUCAAAAGUUUAGUUUUGAAAUUUAAAUAGUUGAAACCCUAAUGUUUUGAAAAAGGUUUCAAAACUUGCCCUCAAGUUUUGGAAUUUAAAUUUUGAUUAAAAGUUUAAUUUUGAUGUAUAUUUAAAUUCUAAACCCUAAUGUUUUGAAAUGUUUCAAAACUUGCCCUCAAGUUUUGGAAUUUAAAAGUUGAUUAAAAGUUUAAUUAGGAAUGUUAAAUUCUAAAACCCUAGUAUUGUUUUGAAAAAGUUCAAAUCACACCCUUAUGGUUUUAUUAAUUAAUUAAGGUGUAUAAUUAAAAGAGGUUUAAUAAAUCCAUAAAAGUUUAGGUUUACAAUUUAAUUGAAUUAAAAGUAUAAUUGUUAAAUUAGACCACCUAGUAUUUUAAAAGUGUAAAAUACACCCUAUACUAUAUAUAACAUUAAAAGUCUAACAUUAUAUAUAUGUAUGAGUAAAAGUCAGUCUUACCGUUAGUAGGCCUCAUUCACGAAGCUGGUCUAUAAGGGGUGUUUAAGGAAAUUGCCUAUAAAAUGGCGAUUGAAUGGGUAUCCACUCUUACCCACCGCACUCUUGACUAGUGGAGGGUCGUUAGCCGAACGGGUAGGAUAGGACGAAACCUUCCAUUAUAAGUAUAAUGAAUUAUUAAAGUAACUAAAUGUUUUCAUAAAAUUCCCAAUCUUAGUUACUUAGGCAAAAGUGAAUUGAUGCAAUUCCAUGAAAUUACACUUUGUGCCCUUGCGAAGACGUUAGUGGAGCGUGUGUGGUUUACCGGCACACUAAAUGGUUCUAAGCAAAGGUAGCAAAGGGUGACUCAAUGUUUGUCAUAGUUCGGUGGAGCGUGUGUGGUUUACCGGCACAUCGAAUAGGUGACUGUAACAUGUGAGGGCACCAUGUAAGUUUGCAUGGUUAUUCACACCCGCUUUGUGAUCCUCGGCAUCCCAGUCACAAACAAGAGGGGCAUAUCGAGAUUUAAACAUGCCAUUGAAAGUUCAAUGAAUCUCAAAGGAUCUAGGAGUUUUCAUAGAUUUAAAACUUAAAUUUCUUUUUCGUUUUUCAUGGUGGAAAUUAGUGAAUCGUCAUUCACUUACCUUCAAAUAUUCUGCAAUUAGGGUUACGGCAUCCCUCUCCCGAGUUGUAGAAUAUUGUGUUGGGUCCUAGCCUUAGUAUCUCAUUUGGGUGAUUUACUAAGGACUCAAUCAAUCAACUAACUUGAAUUCGUUUUCUCCCGUUUUGUAGAUGUCAAAGUUCGACAACUAUGGUCUUCCCAAAUCCCGUGGAACAAGCAUUCCACAUGAAGAUGAUAUUCCACGAUUCGAUCGAGGAACAAGAAAUCAUGCUUCACUUCCUCCUCCUCCUCCAAUUAUUCUCCCUAACCCACAAGUUCAAAGGCUUGAAAAGUUCAAGAUCACUCAAGCCCUUUUGGCAAGUAAACAUAAAGAAGGAAAGUCGGUGUGUGCACACGUCCUAGGGAUGAAGUCACACAUUGAUAGGUUAAGAAUGUUGGGAUCCGUUGUCUGUGAGGAAAUGGCUGUUGAUUGGGUUCUUCAGUCACUUCCUAACUCAUAUAGUGAGUUCGUAAGAGAGUACUAUAUGAUGAACCGCGACGUGACCCUUAUAGAUCUCACCUAUAUGCUUAUUGCUGCUGAAUCAGCAAUGGUUUGGCGCAAUAGAAAAGCAAAGUUGAUUGGUGAAUCUGCCUUCAAGACCUCUAUGGAUAUAGACAAUGGCAACGAAAGACAUGCUAUGAUCGAAAAGUUUGAUCAUAAGAGAAAGGCAAUGUCUGAAGUAGUUCCAUGUCAUGUUCCAAAAGAGUCAAUUUGCUUUUAUUGCCAAGAGAAAGGGCAUUGGAGACGAAGCUGCCCCAUUUACCUAAGAGAUCUAAGAGAUGGGAGAGUCGAAACGUAUGGCUCUAAUAUAGGUAAAAUCCAUUAACUAACUCUUUUAAGCUUCUAUUCUAGAUUCUUAAUACAUAAUGUGAUAAGAUUACAAUUGAUGUUUUGUAGGAUCGAAGAAAAGAAAGGAAGCUUAAGGGAAGAAGUGAGCAGAAUCUAACCGUGAAGGAAUGGAUUUCGAUCGCAUUUCUCGAAGAUUAGAUUCUUGAGCUACUACUUAGAGUUAGAAUUAGAUUGCUAAGAAAGAUGUAUUAGCAUAGUUUUUCAAUGAAUUGCAUUGUAAGGACAAAUUUUUUCCGCAAUAAAAUAAAUUUUGAUUUUAUAUUAUUUAUUUAUCCUUGCAAUGGCGUAUAUGAAAAAUUGAUGUUUGAAUGUUUCUAUUAUUAGCAAUAAUGGAUUUGGUUCUUAUUAUGUUAUUUAUGGAAAGUCGAGAGUUUACCAAAUAGGGAGAGUUUCUCAUCGCCCAAGUUUCAAUUGGACAGAAACUUGGAAUCAUGCAACUUGGUUGCACGAUGAAUGAGAAAUUUCAUAUUUGGAAAUUAGACUAAUUCAUUGACAAAGUGUCAAGUGAAGGACUAGGAGAUCGAGUACACAAAGUUGCGUGUUGAUCAAGUCCACCAUAAGAGUAACAAAGAUAUUCGUCAUGAUUUACUAAAGGUUUAGUAAAUAUGAUUAUACUUACAAGAUUAAGUGUAAUUCUGAAUUGAUUGAAAAAGUUUAAAUCAAUAGCAGAACGAAUAAGAAGAAUCAAGUAGGCAGAAAGAUAAAAGUUUCUCCAUUCUAAGAAGAAGGGAGAGUAGCUUUUAUGCUUUAUGAUAGGUCUUAAUGAUUAAGAACCAUAUCUCAAUUGAUCCUCUAAGUGAGUCUUAGUACAAUUGUAUGUCUAAGAAGAGGAAUCAAGAAUUGAAGAAAUGGUUAAAUCAAGAAGUCAAUCAUACUUCGUUCCAAAACAAGUCUUAGAGUUAAGAUUGUGACAUUGAGUGAAAAGUAUUAAGAAGGUUUAUAACAUUCAUCAAAUGUGGAAAGUUGUGAUGUCUUGGAUAAGACAAAGACCAACUAGGACCAAUUUAUGAAGUGUUUUGAUAAAAACUACACUAACUCUUGAAUAUUUGUUUGUCAAGAAAUGUUUAUUGACAAGAGAAUCUUAUAUGUCAAGGAGUCAGUGGGAGUCUUAAUGGUCUUGAAAGGUUUCAAGAACAAAUCAAAUAAACCUUAUCGAUCAUCACUAGCACACGAGUUGAGGUUUACAACCUAUCGUGUUGACAUUAUUUUGUUUCUGUGCCAAUCCAAUCGAGUUAAUUAUGCAUGUGAGUUCUAUGAGUUCUCAUUUUGAACGCAUAAAAGGCAAAGCACCUUAAUCAAUGAAAGGUACAUUGAUAGGAAAGGGUGAGCUGCUUAACUACUUGGAAGACAUGGUGGGCAGCUGUGCUACCAUAAGGCAAGAAAUCAAGAUUAAGAAAGUUCGGUCCAUAUGAGUUUGAAUUUGUCGUAAACUUUGGUUUUAACAAAUUCACAUGGAUAGGAACACAUACACCGUUUAAAUCUAAGUGUCAUAAGAUUUCCUCCUUCAUGAAAAUGAUUGUGAGGAAAUGCUUUCACUAAGAAAGAUUUUAAGAAGAUAGUGAUUGUAAAAUUGCAUUCUCGAAUUCGAUUAUGGUUACGGUAUCCCUUUCCAUAAUUUGAAUUGUGAGGUUUGGCAAUUAGUCUUAAUUGUUUAGACACACAUAUGAACUAUCGAAGGCAAAGGUGUAUAAGUUCAAGAAGCCUUGAUAAAAGAUUAUCAAAGCACUAAGUAUUAGAAACAUGAACUUAAGAAAUUCAAUAAGUAUUGUUUUUCUGAAAGUUAAGAUGUUUAUGAAUACAUGUCGAAGCUAGUGGGAGCAUAAGUGUUAUGUUUUAUAAUAAUCAUCAUGAUAGUGGGAGCAUAAAUGUUAUGAUUGUAUGAUUAUUAAGGAAAGUAUUGCAAGUUGGCAAUAUUAAUUAUAGAAAACAAGAGUCAUUCUUUGCAAAGUUGUAAGGAUGGAAUAGUUGUUUUGCUAUAAUUAAGGGAGAGAAUAUUAUGCUUCAUUUCAAAUCUAAAGGAUUAGGUUGAGAAAUGUUAAUAAAUUUAGUCAAAGGUACAUAGUGUGUUCUUAAAAUUUCGAUUAUGAUUACGACAUUCCUCUUCACAAUUCGAAUUUUGAGAACAUAGCAAAUAAAACAUUAUGCGUCGUGUCCCAUACGCUUCGGGUAUAGGAUCGAUUGCAAAUGCUUUAAUGUUUGACCAUUCUAAAAUUUUCCAAAUGUCGAGCGCAUUUAGAGGGAAAAGGGACUAGAAUUGGUUUUGACUAAAAUAAUUAAACAACUAUCAAAGGACAAUCCAAAGUUUGACAAGGAUUGGUCGCUUGUGAGUAGUUGGAAGCAUGGUAUUGGAUGGACCAUAUCGAAAUUAUUNAUGUUCAAAGGAAUGUACUUUGAAUGAGAAACAUCAUAUCUAAGUAAUUAUAUUGUAACAAUCUCCGAUAGAGGACUUUGUAAUUUCAAUUGCAAUAGUCUUUGUGACUUUGGUGCAGAGAUAUUGCAAAUGGAUCGUUGCAUAAAAUGUUAGAAUCUAGCAUAUUCUAUAAGUGGCAAGAAUUUGAUAUUCUUACACUUAUGAAAAGGAUUUGGAGUUGUGAAAUGAGAAUCAUUGGGAAUGUGCUCAAUUUGGUCUAUUUCACAAAGUAAGAACCAUAGGUAAACAUUGUGUGCAUGCUAGGAGCAUGGGACAAGUGUAAUAAUUCAAGUAAGAAGUUGAUUACCCGAAACGAAAAAUAAUGAGUAAUCGAUAUGGUGAUAAAUAAAAGGAGUUUUAUUUAUACUCAAAGGUUUGAGGCCAUAUGGGAUUAGUAUUAUUCUUGUGUUUCACAUUUGCAUGUUUUGACUUCCAGAAUAAUUGAGUUUAUUAAGAAUAAUCGAAUUAUUCAAACGGGCCACAGUCGUUCAUAUGUUGGAAGUAGAUAUGAAUGAAGACUGUCGUGAAUUGGUGUGUGGAUUGUCUAAAAGAGUAUUAGACAUAAGCAAAUGUUUGCUGCAACGUUCAUGAGUGCUUAUGAAUAUGA